rnacentral:rRNA from 1 species
AACGGCCGUACCAUGCUGAAUAUACCGGUUCUCGUUAGAUCACCGAAGUCAAGCAUCAUUGGGCGCGGUCAGUACUUGGGUGGGUGACCACCUGGGAACACAGUGUGCCGUU